rnacentral:rRNA from 1 species
UACGUAGGUGGCGAGCGUUGUCCGGAUUUACUGGGCGUAAAGGGCUUGUAGGCGGUCCGCUAAGUCUGGUGUGAAAUCUCCCGGCUCAACUGGGAGGGGUCAUCGGAUACUGGCGGACUUGAGGGGGGUAGAGGAAAGGCAGAAUUCCUGGUGUAGCGGUGAAAUGCGUAGAUAUCAGGAGGAAUACCAGUGGCGAAGGCGGCUUUCUGGGCCUACCCUGACGCUGAGGAGCGAAAGCGUGGGGAGCAAACCGG